rnacentral:rRNA from 1 species
GACUAAUUUGACCUCAAAUCAGGUAGGACUACCCGCUGAACUUAAGCAUAUCAAUAAGCGGAGGAAAAGAAACUAACAAGGAUUCCCCUAGUAACUGCGAGUGAAGAGGGAAAAGCUCAAAUUUAAAAUCUGGUAGUCUCUGGCUGCCCGAGUUGUAAUCUAGAGAAGCAUUAUCCGCGCCGGACCAUGUACAAGUUUUCCUGGAAUGGAGCGUCAUAGAGGGUGAGAAUCCCGUCUUUGACAUGGGCUACCGGGGCUUUGUGAUGUGCUCUCCAAGAGUCGAGUUGUUUGGGAAUGCAGCUCUAAAUGGGUGGUAAAUUCCAUCUAAAGCUAAAUAUUGGCGAGAGACCGAUAGCGAACAAGUACCGUGAGGGAAAGAUGAAAAGAACUUUGGAAAGAGAGUUAAACAGUACGUGAAAUUGUUGAAAGGGAAACGCUUGAAGUCAGUCGCGUCUGCCAGGAAUCAACCUUGCAUUUUUGCUGGGUGUACUUUCUGGUUGGACGGGUCAGCAUCAAUUUUGAUCAGUGGAAAAAGUUCAGAGGAAUGUGGCACCUUCGGGUGUGUUAUAGCCUUUGUUCGUAUACAUUGAUUGGGAUUGAGGAACUCAGCAUGCCGUAAGGCCGGGUCUUUUGACUACGUUCAUGCUUAGGAUGCUGGCAUAAUGGCUUUAAUCGACCCGUCUUGAAACACGGACCAAGGAGUCUAACAUGCCCGCGAGUGUUUGGGUGGAAAACCCAGACGCGUAAUGAAAGUGAAGGUUGAGAUCCCUGUCGUGGGGAGCAUCGACGCCCGGACCAGAACUUCUGUGACGGAUCCGCGGUAGAGCGUGUAUGUUGGGACCCGAAAGAUGGUGAACUAUGCCUGAAUAGGGUGAAGCCAGAGGAAACUCUGGUGGAGGCUCGUAGCGAUUCUGA